CUAAUCUGCGAUAAGCGCCGGUAAGGUGAUAUGAACCGUUAUAACCGGCGAUACCCGAAUGGGGAAACCCAGUGUGACUCGUCACACUAUCAUUAACUGAAUCCAUAGGUUAAUGAGGCGAACCGGGGGAACUGAAACAUCUAAGUACCCCGAGGAAAAGAAAUCAACCGAGAUUCCCCCAGUAGCGGCGAGCGAACGGGGAGGAGCCCAGAGCCUGAAUCAGCAUGUGUGUUAGUGGAAGCGUCUGGAAAGGCGCGCGAUACAGGGUGACAGCCCCGUACACAAAAGCGCAUGUGCUGUGAGCUCGAUGAGUAGGGCGGGACACGUGGUAUCCUGUCUGAAUAUGGGGGGACCAUCCUCCAAGGCUAAAUACUCCUGACUGACCGAUAGUGAACCAGUACCGUGAGGGAAAGGCGAAAAGAACCCCGGCGAGGGGAGUGAAAAAGAACCUGAAACCGUGUACGUACAAGCAGUGGGAGCACCCUUUGGG
rnacentral:rRNA from 2 species